rnacentral:rRNA from 1 species
GACGAACGCUGGCGGCGUGCUUAACACAUGCAAGUCGAGCGGUAAGGCCCUUUCGGGGGUACACGAGCGGCGAACGGGUGAGUAACACGUGGGUGACCUGCCCUUAGCUCUGGGAUAAGCCUGGGAAACUGGGUCUAAUACCGGAUAUGACCUCAUGACGCAUGUUGUGGGGUGGAAAGCCUUGUGCGGCUAGGGAUGGGCCCGCGGCCUAUCAGCUUGUUGGUGGGGUGAUGGCCUACCAAGGCGACGACGGGUAGCCGGCCUGAGAGGGCGACCGGCCACACUGGGACUGAGACACGGCCCAGACUCCUACGGGAGGCAGCAGUGGGGAAUCUUGCGCAAUGGGCGAAAGCCUGACGCAGCGACGCCGCGUGAGGGAUGACGGCCU